rnacentral:lncRNA from 1 species
UUUCUAUGCUCGCACGCAGUGCGGAGCAUGGCGUCCCCGGGAGCUGGGGCAUGGGAGGCAGUUGUGGCGUGGGAUCUAGGGUGUCUGCAGCGGGCUCGGCGGCCGUGUGAGGCGCUCGGCCCGCCGGACCCCGCGUGAAGCGGGUCGCUGUGGAAGCCGAGCGCGGUUUGGGAUGUAGCUAUUCGCCGUACGCCCAGGCCCAGAACUGGGCGGGAAUAAAGCGAAUUCCUGGUCACACGGUGGGUACCUGAAGCUGACAGAUAUUUCCUGAACGACACGCGGGAGCACAGAGUGGGUUAAAGGGUGUCCUUGAUGAUUUGGAAAUUUGAUCUACAGAAGCACAGUGAUUUAAAUUUUCUAGGGGCCAUGUCAAAACUCCAUAGAUGAAUGCUCAUUUGUAACAAGGCUAUGAAUAAAUGCUUCCAUGUGCUGUUC